rnacentral:lncRNA from 1 species
UGACGUUCUGUAGUGAGAGCAUCCCCAUAGGGCGGGAGUCACAAUCUUGCGGGCAGGUGCACAGACGUAUUUCAUGGGGUCGACACAAGGGGACGACUCCAGGCAGGUCCCAGCCUCCAGCGGCCUCCCUGCCGUGGCCCCUGCACCUGCAGCCCCGAGGACCUGCCCCGAGGACCUUCCCAGCCUCUGCCGCCUGUGCUCACUCUCCCUCCCUCCCUUCCCCGCCUUGCCUUUGCUCAGUCCGCCCCACCUACAUCGGUCCUGACUCCCCACCACAUGGUCCCAACCCUCCUGCUGUGUGUCCCUCCUCGGACCCAGCGCUGGCUUUGUCUGUGGCUUUGUCCUUGCCAGCCCCGGGGGACGCAGAGCUCGGCCUGUGUCAGCGCUCAGUGCCUGCUGAGCAAAGGUGUUCUGCCCCCUCACACUGCUGAGAAAUCGCAGGCUCAGAGAGGCUCAGGGAGCCACCCAGGGUCACACAGCUCUCGGGAGAAACACCGGAACUCAGGCUCCCCGGGACCCUUGAGACGCUGCGGAGCCGGUUCCUACGAGGCUCACACCGGCCCCCGGCGCACGGAGAGCCUCCGCCUGCUCACGCCUGUGCCGGGGGUGGACGCGGACCAGGAAUCAGGACCCCGAGGCCGCCCCUUCUCUCUCUGCACCUGGGCCCCCGGCGCAGGUGGGAUCCACGCCGCUGGGCGCCUUCCGGUUUCCGGUUUCCUGCCCGUGGUUCCCUGCUGCCUUGCGACGGCUUUUAGCUAAGCCUCCUGAGGCCACGGGGAGACUGGGGGGAGUUGAGAGCCCCCCAGCUCCGGAGGCCCCAGCCCCUUCUGUGUGGGCGCAGGACAGCCGGGCACCUGCCGGCCCCCAGGCGACCUCGUGUCCCGCGGGCAGGUGUUCCCGAGGGGGACUCCCAGGGGCGCUUGCGGGCAGACGGGCCGGAGCCCUGUGCUCGAGGGACACGAUGUCCCUUCACACUUCAGGGCACUCAGUGCCGCGUGGGGGAGAUGCGGUCUGAGCUGGGGGCGGGAGGGGGC